rnacentral:rRNA from 1 species
CCUACGGUGAGCAGCAGUGGGGAAUAUUGGACAAUGGGGGGAACCCUGAUCCAGCGACGCCGCGUGAGUGAAGAAGUAUUUCGGUAUGUAAAGCUCUAUCAGCAGGGAAGAAAGAAAUGACGGUACCUGACUAAGAAGCCCCGGCUAACUACGUGCCAGCAGCCGCGGUAAUACGUAGGGGGCAAGCGUUAUCCGGAUUUACUGGGUGUAAAGGGAGCGUAGACGGCGAUGCAAGUCUGAAGUGAAAGGCGGGGGCCCAACCUCCGGACUGCUUUGGAAACUGUAUGGCUGGAGUGCAGGAGAGGUAAGUGGAAUUCCUAGUGUAGCGGUGAAAUGCGUAGAUAUUAGGAGGAACACCAGUGGCGAAGGCGGCUUACUGGACUGUAACUGACGUUGAGGCUCGAAAGCGUGGGGAGCAAACAGGAUUAGAUACCCGAGUAGUC